UACGAAGGGGGCUAGCGUUGUUCGGAGUUACUGGGCGUAAAGGGCGCGUAGGCGGCCGAUCAAGUCGGGGGUGAAAGCCUGUGGCUCAACCACAGAAUUGCCUUCGAUACUGUUUGGCUUGAGACCGGAAGAGGUUAGUGGAACUGCGAGUGUAGAGGUGAAAUUCGUAGAUAUUCGCAAGAACACCAGUGGCGAAGGCGGCUGACUGGACCGGUUCUGACGCUGAGGCGCGAAAGCGUGGGGAGCAAACAGG
rnacentral:rRNA from 1 species